rnacentral:rRNA from 1 species
GUAUAACUUAGUGGCAGACGGGUGAGUAAUGUAUAGGAAUCUACCUAGUAGUACGGAAUAAUUGUUGGAAACGGCAACUAAUACCGUAUACGCCCUACGGGGGAAAAAUUUAUUGCUAUUAGAUGAGCCUAUAUUAGAUUAGCUAGUUGGUGGGGUAAUAGCCUACCAAGGCAAUGAUCUAUAGCUGAUCUGAGAGGAUGAUCAGCCACACUGGAACUGAGAUACGGUCCAGACUCCUACGGGAGGCAGCAGUGGGGAAUAUUGGACAAUGGGCGAAAGCCUGAUCCAGCCAUGCCGCAUGAGUGAAGAAGGCCUUUGGGUUGUAAAGCUCUUUUAGUGAGGAAGAUAAUGACGGUACUCACAGAAGAAGUCCUGGCUAACUCCGUGCCAGCAGCCGCGGUAAUACGGAGAGGGCUAGCGUUAUUCGGAAUUAUUGGGCGUAAAGGGCGCGUAGGCGGGUUAGUAAGUUAAAAGUGAAAUCCCAAGGCUUAACCUUGGAAUUGCUUUUAAAACUGUUAAUCUAGAGAUUGAAAGAGGAUAGAGGAAUUCCUAGUGUAGAGGUAAAAUUCGUAAAUAUUAGGAGGAACACCAGUGGCGAAGGCGUCUAUCUGGUUCAAAUCUGACGCUGAGGCGCGAAGGCGUGGGGAGCAAACAGGAUUAGAUACCCUGGUAGUCCCCGCUGUAAACGAUGAAUGUUAAAUAUGGGAAGUUUACUUUCUGUAUUACAGCUAACGCGUUAAACAUUCCGCCUGGGGACUACGGUCGCAAGAUUAAAACUCAAAGGAAUUGACGGGGACCCGCACAAGCGGUGGAGCAUGUGGUUUAAUUCGAUGCAACGCGAAAA